rnacentral:rRNA from 1 species
ACGGGGUGGUAAUGCCGGAUGUUCCACAUGAUCGCAUGUGAUUGUGGGAAAGAUUCUAUCGGCGUGGGAUGGGGUCGCGUCCUAUCAGGUUGUUGGUGAGGUAACGGCUCACCAAGGCUUCGACGGGUAGCCGGCCUGAGAGGGCGACCGGCCACAUUGGGACUGAGAUACGGCCCAGACUCCUACGGGAGGCAGCAGUGGGGAAUAUUGCACAAUGGGCGCAAGCCUGAUGCAGCGACGCCGCGUGAGGGAUGGAGGCCUUCGGGUUGUAAACCUCUUUUGUUUGGGAGCAAGCCUUCGGGUGAGUGUACCUUUCGAAUAAGCGCCGGCUAACUACGUGCCAGCAGCCGCGGUAAUACGUAGGGCGCAAGCGUUAUCCGGAUUUAUUGGGCGUAAAGGGCUCGUAGGCGGCUCGUCGCGUCCGGUGUGAAAGUCCAUCGCUUAACGGUGGAUCUGCGCCGGGUACGGGCGGGCUGGAGUGCGGUAGGGGAGACUGGAAUUCCCGGUGUAACGGUGGAAUGUGUAGAUAUCGGG